UGAACCUCCUCUGUUGUCUGUCUAGAAACGGUGCUGUUACAGAUACUGCUUGUGUUUAUCAUCAUGAACCUCCUCUGUUGUCUGUCUAGAAACGGUGCUGUUACAGAUACUGCUUGUGUUUAUCAUCAUGAACCUCCUCUGUCGUCUGUCUAGAAACGGUGCUGUUACAGAUACUGCUUGUGUUUAUCAUCAUGAACCUCCUCUGUUGUCUGUCUAGAAACGGUGCUGUUACAGAUACUGCUUGUGUUUAUCAUCAUGUGAUGGAAGAUUAGAACAUGUACCUUGAUGUUUAAUGUGAAAACAAGGUUCAUUUCAUUCUAAUUGUGAAGAUGAAUCAAAACAUUUAGGCAUUAAAGUCAAUACAUUGAAGCAAGGUGUUAGGUUGUAAACAGAUGACCUCAAACGAAUGCAGAGAAAAGCUCAAACAGAGUUCAUUCACCCCACUGAAUGCUGCAUUUAUAUGCCAUAGCUUGCACAUAACCAAACAAUAAUUGAUACGUCAAGACAAAGGUAGGGGUGUGACUUCUCAGAAAUGUCCUUCUGUUUCCCAGAACUGCCUGUUGGUCUGUUGUUGAGCGGCUGGUAUCACCCCUCCCCCAUUAUCCCCCAUGUUGCUCCACCUCCUUGUGGGAGGAGCCAGGCGAGGUCACAGAUCAGCUUCCACUGCCAACAAGGAACACAACUUCUUAACCCAUUACAUUGGUGUCAACCAUACUUUUAUUCAGUCUAAUCCAGAGAACCCAGUUGUAAAUCUUUUUUUUAUCAUAACAAACUGUGUCUAAAGUUUCCAGACAUAUAUUUUAGAGUUUAACAGUUGGUAAUAAAUCAGUAUUUCUGAUGUUUUUCUUGUUUUGUUUGUUCAUCCUGUUUUGACCUCCAGACUCCUCCAUCUCAUCCCACCAACUCUGUCAGUCCACCAAGUCCCACAAUGCACCUCCACACCACUGCAGUAACAGCCAUAUCUUCACAUCUCAAAGCUUCAGUACCAUCUCAAUGUGUUGAAGUACCAUCCAGGAUCCUGUGGCAAAGUCAAUAUGAAACAGCACUGACCCGUGAUCACCACCAACCAGGGCUCCACAGCGGUUGUCUUGGACACCCAGUGAAACAGCACUGACCCGUGAUCACCACCAACCAGGGCUCCACAGCGGUUGCCUUGGACACCCAGUGAAACAGCACUGACCCGUGAUCACCACCAACCAGGGAUCCACAGCUGGUUGCCUUGGACACCCA